rnacentral:rRNA from 1 species
AAAGCGUGCGCAGGCGGUUAUAUAAGACAGAUGUGAAAUCCCCGGGCUCAACCUGGGAACUGCAUUUGUGACUGUAUAGCUGGAGUGCGGCAGAGGGGGAUGGAAUUCCGCGUGUAGCAGUGAAAUGCGUAGAUAUGCGGAGGAACACCGAUGGCGAAGGCAGCCCCCUGGGUCAAGAUUGACGCUCAUGCACGAAAGCGUGGGGAGCAAACAGGAUUAGAUACCCUGGU